GGAGUAUGUCCUCCCAGAGGAAGAACAGCUGUGAAGCUCCUGUGUCACAGCCCAAACUGCAACACAGAGUGUGUUUGCGUGUCUGCAGCUAGACACUGUGCUGCAAAUUUUCAGCCUUCUUUCACAGUAUUUAUGACAGCUACAGCAGCUUUGGGAAAUGAGAUGUCUUUGGCAUGAACACCUGGAUCACUCUGGUGGGAUAACAGAUUUAGGUGCCAAACUGCUUUGCUGAAUGCCCACUCAGCUCUGGGAUCCUGGUUUCUUUUUACCCCCGUGGCUUUGUCCGCAAUUGCAAAUGCUGUUAGAGGUUAUCCUCCAGUGACUUCAGAGAAAAUGGCCUUUACUUGAAGCUUACUUAUUCCAAAACUGUUUUCUCCUUCUUGUUACCUAUUUCUAUCCUUCCCUGACAACACAUACACACUAUUUUUUAGAUAUUUUUUCUUCAUUUAUUUCAGAAACUAAUGCUAACUCCUAUUUUUCUGUUGCAGCUUUUUCUGUACCCGUUCCCCAACUGAAUCUCUUGGGCAGAGAAAGAACGUGUACCUGUGCCCCUUACAACAUGGCCUUGGGCAGCAGAAAGGUUUACAGAUCACAUAUGGAACUUUAUGCCUUCAGAGGUAUGUUGACUCUGUCCUAUUGAGGCGGGUGGAAAAAAUGAUGGCUGUGGCAGAAAGGACAAGCUUCUUUCAAGUCUUUUUUUGAAAAAGGUAAGAAUGGAAAAUCAUUUCAAAUAAAGUCAGCUUUCUGUUGUUAAUCUUUGGGAUG
rnacentral:lncRNA from 1 species